rnacentral:rRNA from 1 species
AGCGAACGCUGGCGGCAGGCCUAACACAUGCAAGUCGAACGAACCUUUCGGGGUUAGUGGCGGACGGGUGAGUAACACGUGGGAACGUGCCUUUAGGUUCGGAAUAACUCAGGGAAACUUGUGCUAAUACCGAAUGUGCCCUUCGGGGGAAAGAUUUAUCGCCUUUAGAGCGGCCCGCGUCUGAUUAGCUAGUUGGUUGAGGUAAUGGCUCACCAAGGCGACGAUCAGUAGCUGGUCUGAGAGGAUGAUCAGCCACAUUGGGACUGAGCCACGGCCCAAACUCCUACGGGAGGCAGCAGUGGGGAAUCUUGCGCAAUGGGCGAAAGCCUGACGCAGCCAUGCCGCGUGAAUGAUGAAGGUCUUAGGAUUGUAAAAUUCUUUCACCGGGGACGAUAAUGACGGUACCCGGAGAAGAAGCCCCGGCUAACUUCGUG